UCCUUUUAACAUUUAUUUAUUUUCAAGAGACAGAGUGCAAGUUGGGGAGGGGCAGAGAGAGAGGGAGAUACAGAAUUGGAAGCAGGCUCCAGGCUCUGAGCUGUCAGCACAGAGCCUGACGCGGGGCUUGAACCCACCAACAGGGAGAUCAUGACCUGAGCUGAAGUUGGAUGCCUAACCAACUGAGCCAUCGAGGUGCCCCUCAACUUUCUUUUUUUAAUAUUUAUUUAUUUUAUUGGGGAGAGUGGCAGAGGGAGGGAGGGAGAGAGAGAGAGAGAGAGAGAGAGAGAGAGAGAGAGAAAAUCCCAAGCAGGCUCCAUGUCUAGCCGUGAUGGGGGCUCGAUCCCACGACUGUGAGAUCAUGACCUGAGCCAAAAUCAAGAGUUGGGCGCUUAACUGACUGAGUCACCCAGGCUUUAUUCUUGAGUUGAGUCUUAGAUUCAAUGAUAUUUACUACAUUGCUAAAGAAUGAAAAUAAAAUAAGCUGAUAAAAUAGAAGGGAGUUGAGUCUUUGCACCAGUAAUGAGAAUGUGAUAUGAUCCAGCUUUGUUAUUAAUUUGGCAGUGUGAAACUCAUGUCCACUUAAAAACAUCUCAUAGAGACUGUUUAGAAUUGGCUUUUAAUUUACAGCAUGAACGCACCACAGCCAACUGAAUAAUUCUCUAAUGGGGAAGAUCUUAGUUGUUGCCUCUGUGGGUAAAGAGCAUAAAGACCAACAUAAAUGUUACAGUCCUUGGUCUCUGGUGAGUUUGUUCAUGAAUUUUCCAAGGACUUAUUUUACAAAAUUUAAAAUAGCAUAUUAAUAAUAGCAUAAUAACAAAUAUAUUACAUAUAUAAAAUAUACUUAUAUGUAAUAAGUAUAUAUAAAUACAUAUGUAAUGAAAUAUAUAAACAUAAAAUUGGUUACAAAAUAUGUAAAUGUGUAUUAUUUAUAUAUAUAAUAUGUAAAAUAUAAAACAUUUAUAUAUAUAUAAAAUUAAAGAACACCAAGCAUUGGCCAAGGAUAUGAAUAUGUUAUGAACUGUUCAUGAUUAGUCAUUUUCAGGGCCACAUGAUAAUAUAUAUCAUUUUAGUUCGGCACCAAAGUACAUUUAGAAGUAUAUCCAUUCCUUGCUAAAGCUCGAGGUUAUUUACUUGUUGAGGGAGGGGGAUGUAGGACGAUGGAGAAAAUUACACGUUCUAGUGGUGAGGGAAGACGAUGGUUCAUAGCUGUUUAUUUCACCCUCUUUACAAUGAGGAUACGUGAAGAGAUGAGCAGAAACUUCUUAUCAAUAUGAUGUUGAUGUGAAACAGCUGUCAAUCCCUAUGUGCAACCCAGAGGUGCACUAAGAAAGAGACAUCAAGCGUAUUAGCUUUGUGGGACAAAUGCAAAUAGACUUACCUUGGUAAAAACCAUUCAUCUUAUUCUUGGCAUUUGUGAUGCAUGGCUAUUGACCGUGUUAUAAUUUAUGCAUGUAAAAAUGAUCCAGAAAGGAAGAUAUGAAUGAAGAAGGCAAAAAAAAAUGCCAAGUUUGGAUCAAUGAUGAGUACCCUGGGGUGUCUGGAUUAAAGAUUUUGAUUAAGCUCUGUAGCUCUAAUGUCAUUACGAGAAGGAAUGUAGCCAUUCCCUCUAUGGUGAUAGUGUUUACAAAGCAAGAAGGGAAGAGUAGGGAUCCUGUUGUUAGGUUUUGUGUUCCUAGGAUGCAGGAUAUUUUUAAUUACACAUGAAAUGAUGCCUGGUCAGGAAAGAAAUGAAGGAGUGAAUGAGGACAAGGAAAGCCACACAUUGUUUAAUGAUGAGACUGUGUUUUGAAACAUUUCUGAAGUAAUGAGGUCUAGGAAAGUAAGUAGACUUUACUCCGUUCAGCAGGGAGCAGAUAGGAAAGUAUGCCCAAGAUUCAAUGUUGUCAUUAUGAAUUGAUGGCAGGUUGCUGAUUUAUUUUAUUAAGGGAAACUGGUUGGCGUUGGUAAAUAAUUGAAGAUCUAAUUGAAAAAAAAAAGAAGAUUAUGGACCAGUCAUGAGAAUGUGGUCCCAUGACAAGAUGGUUUGCUCUGAGCUUAUGAUCUCCUGUUAGUAUUAUUUAAAGCAUUGUCCAGUGACUUAUAAUAAUGACAUAUUAUAUGUUAUUAUAACCGAAUGAAUGGAUUCAUAUUUUAUUUAAAAGGUGAAAAUCAUACACCAGUGAGGAAGGACUCUGAUUAUCCUGUUUUAUACUACUGCAUCUAUAUUUAUAAAAAGCCAGGCUCUUCCCAGUUUGUAUAAUGUACAGACAGAUGCUUCCCAUUUUAAUUCACUUUUCUUUUUCUUUUUUUUUUUUUAAGUCAAAGUGCAGUUAACACACGAUGUUACAUUAGUUUCAGGCGCACAACAUAGUGAUUUGACAUCUGUAGAUGUUAUACCGUGCUCACCAUAAGUGAAGGUACUGUCUGUGCCUUUAUAUAAUGAACAACAGGUGAAAUUAUUCCAUGAGUAAUUGAAUGAGUGAAUGAAUGAAUGGAUGAACAAGUUAAGUAGAGCCAACCAUGGACCACUGUUAAAAAUAUGCCGUGAAACAAGGAUUUAAAUUUAUCCGAUCGGUUUAAGAAAGAUCCAUGGAGAAGGGUAAUGUAGAUUUUAGCUAGGUAAAGUAGCCGGACAUGUUUGUAAGAGUCAUAGUUAUUAGUUGUGAUUGGAGCGAUGGAUUCAGUGGUGUUCAUUUUAUUGUUGAAAAUUAAAAUUAGGGGUGCCUGGCUGGCUCAUUCGGCAGAACAUGCGUCUCUUGAUCUCAGGAUUGUGAGUUCGAGCCCUAGGUGGGUAGAGAGAUGACUUAAAAAUAAAAUCUUAAAAAACUUAAAAUGAAUGGAGUAGGUAAACAGUAGUGAUAUUCUUGAGCCAACGAAAAGAAGCAAGUUUUAUGUUUAACCGAGAACUCUACGAUUAGUAUCUUUCACACAUACCUAAAUGUGUGUUUUUUUCAUUAUUUCCAAAGCCUGAUUUUUACCUCAGAAUGAAGAUGCCACAGUUGAUUUAAUCCUAUCUAAUGGUGAAGACUGUGGCUCUGUGGGUAAGGAGCAUUAAAUUCUGAGGUGAGUCACAGUCAAAGUCUAUGUACUUGGUUAGGGGAACUUGUUCAUGGCUGUCCACUGAAGUAUUUCAAGUAAUAAAAAGCUAUGUAGGAGUGUAAAAUUAAAGAAUGCUGUACAUUACCAAUGACAGGAAUAGAUUAUGAACCAGAGAUAAUGAGGAGUAAUUCAAUUCUGCGCAACUGAUGACUCCUUUAAAAAGGUGGCAGAUGUUUCAUACGUUUUCGGGGAUACUUACACGACUGUGGAUUUUAACAUUCAUCCCUUCACAAGAGUCAGUGAGAGGGAGCACAUGGCGUACGCUGAAGGCCACUGCAAAAAGAGACGUAAUGUAUUAGCUCCAUGGGAAAUGAGCUUAUCAAUAGAUCUUAGUGAUAUUUAAGGAUCUUAUUUUUGAGCUUUAGUGAUUUCUGUGCAUUGAUUCUGUUGUGGGAACAGUGAGCAUGUCAAUAAACCUAAAGGAUAAAGGACUGAAGGAAAAGAGUGCAAAGCUCAGGACAAUGAGGAGUCCUGGGGUGGGGGUUGAGUCUGAGUCCAGAAUUGUGUGGGAUGUGGGGAGAGGGAGACCCUCCUGCACUGCUGGUGGGAAUGCACACUGGUGCAGCCGCUCUGGAGAACAGCACAGAGGGUCCUCGGAAAGUUAAAAAUAGAACUACCCUACGACCCAGCCAUUGCACUACUAGGUACUUACCCAAAGGAUACGAAAACACAGAUUUGAAGGAGGACAGGCACUCUGAUGUUUAUAGCAGCUCUAUCUAUGAUAGACAAAUUAUGGAAGCAGCCCAAGUGUCCAUUGACUGAUGAAUAGAUAAAGAAGAUGUGAUAUAGAUCUGCAAUGGAAUAUUACUCAGCCAUCAAAAUGAAUGAAAUCUUGCCGUUUGCAAGGACAGGGGUGAAGGUAGAGUGUACUAUGCUAAGCGAAAUGGGUCAGAGAAAAACAAAUGCCAUAGGGUUUCACUCAUGUGUGGAACUUAAGAAACAAAAAUGAGCAUAGGGGGAAAAAAAAGAGUGAGAGUGACAAAACAAUAAUUAACUAUAGAGAGCAAACUGAUGAUUACCAGAGGGGAGGCAGGGACGGGUAGGGGAAAUAGGUGAUGAGGAUUAAGGAGGGCACUUGUUGUGAUGAGCGCUGGGUAUUGUAUGGCAGUGUUGAAUUCACUAUAUUGUACACCUGAAACUAAUGUUACACUGUAUGUUAACUAUACAGGAAUUUAAAUAAAAACUUAAGAAAUUAAAAAAAAAAAUAGAAAAAACAAGUAGAUGGAAUUGUGUUAAUCCCCGUCUAGAAAUCUGUGGACUAUUGCAGAAAAAUAAAAAUAAAAUCAAAGACAGAGAGAGAGAGAGGGAUAAAAUAAACUUGUAGGGAAGUGAAUUCAUGAAUGAAUAAGGAAAUGUGUAAAUGAAUGAAGAUAAGGAGGGCCAUGUGUGGACGAGCUAUGAAGUUAUGUAAUAAAGCAGAAAUGAUUAUUAGUGUAUAUUUGAAACAUCAGGUUCUAUAGGUAAAUCAAAGCUCUGAGCCCUUCCAUAAGGACAGUAUGGACAGAUGUACCCAAGAGUUCAUGUUGCUGCCUUGAUUCUUUGUUUGGUGGUUUUAAUUAAGAAGGACAAAAAAAAAAUGUUUACAUAAAUAAACAAUUGCUUAAAUAUUGUCUUAUUGAGAGAGGGCCAAAUGUGAACCCAUACUGAGGAUAUGUCAUGUGACCAGAGUUACAAUUAAUAUAACUGUAUUCGCUAGUUUAAUUAAAAAAAUUCAAAAGAUGAUUUAGUAAUCAUUUAUGUCUAUCGGCCAUGAGCAUGUAGACUGGAUACUUAAUAUUCCUGUUCCGUGCCUUGGUUUUCAUUGGUACUGACAUCUUGUCAUAAGGGAAUGAAGGAGUGCAUUUCCCUGCAGAUUAAUUAUUCAAAAGAAGGCUGAGCAAGGGCCAACGAGGAAUGUGUUUUAUGAACCAAAGAUAAUGAUUACUCCCGUUAUCCGCAAAAGUUGUCCAGAUAAAGAAAUAGAACUCUAAAUUCCUUCCAUUUUGGACAAAGUACACACAGAAAUGUUUUUUUAAAUUCCAGUUAGUUAACAUACAGUGUAAUGUUAGUUUCAGGUGUACAUAGAAAUUUGCAUGAAGAAAUUCUUUAGAAAAAUGGGAAGAUAAUUGAUUUAUUUUAUGCCUAAUUAUAUACACGAAUAAGUAAAUGAAUCAGUAGACAUAAAUCAGAAAAAUGUGUGCUUCAUUGGUGAGGAUAUGCCAUAAAACAAAGAUUUACAUUCAUCCAAUUUUGUACAAGUGAGGUCCAUUAAAAGUAAUCACUGAGUUGUUAAAUUUAUGGAUAGGGAGUAUGGAGACAGAUAUUUAUGAUAGAUAAUGGUUCCUAUGUUGGUGUUCAUUGUACUGCUUAAAAAGAAAAGUUAAAUAAGUCAAUAAAUAAGAGUGCGAUUCAUCGGCAAUGAUGACAUUCUUUCUGAAAUGACCCGUGUUUAUGAUUGAUCUAAUACUGCAAGUCUAGCCUCCAUUUAAAAAAAAAACCUAACUGUGGACUCUUUCUUUCUCUUGAAAGUCUGCAUUUUCACUAAGCGAACACACCACAGAUGAAGUAAUCAUUCUCUAAUGCUAAAGAUCUUGGCUUUAGCAAACUGUGGGGGUAAGGACAGAAGAAAUUGAUAAGAAAGCCACAGAAGGACCAGUGGUGAAUGUGGAUUUGGUAUGAAGCAUGGAUAUUAAUUGACGACACAUAUUCUCCGAGGUCCAUUGUAAAAGGAGAUUUAGUCUAUUUGCUUUACGGGGAAAGAGCCAUUAAUGCGAAGAUCUUAUCCUGGAACUUUAUGAUAGCUUUGUAUUCAUGGAUCAAUCAAUCAACCAAUCAAUGAAGAUAUAAAGGAAGAAAAACGUGCCUGGACCAAUGAUGAGUACCAUGGGGUAUCUGAAACAGGAGUUUUGAUUAAACCCAUAUGCAACUCUGAGGUCCAUUACAAAGAGACACGUAGUUAUUUCCCCUCUGUGGGAAAGGAGCACAUGUUACCUUUUGUGGUUCUUGGAGAUGGAUUGUAUUUUAUUAUUAUUAUUAUUAUUUAAAAAAAAUUUUAACAUUUAUUUACUUUUGAGAGAGAGAGAGAGAGAGAGAGAGAAACAGAGUGCAAGUGGGGAGGGGCAGAGAGAGAGGGAGACACAGAAUCCUAAGCAGCCUCCAGGCUCCGAGCUGUCAGCACAGAGCCCGACGCAGGGCUCAAACCCACAAACCGUGAGAUCAUGACGUGAGCUGAAGUUGGACAUUUAACCGACAGAGCCCCCCCGGGCACCCUGGAUUGUAUUUUUUUUUUUUAUAGAAUCGAUUCACAAAUAAAUAAAAUGUAUCAAUGAAUGAAAAAAAGAGGACAAUUUAUACGCUUAUUAAGGGAAGUAAGGCAACAUGGAGUAGUAAUAUGAAAAUUUGAAACUCCGACUUCCAAGAAAUGGUCAUGAAAGGAGUAUAUGGUCACUUGUACAUAAUACUCAACAAUGUUUGCUGGUUGCUCAAGGGUUGCUGAGGGAUUCUUUUAUUAAGGAAAUGGCAACACACUGACUAUAAUAGUUGGUUACAUAACCACACAAUUGAGAGCCAAGCAGAGGCCAGUGAUGAGAAUGAUUUAUAUGACAACACUCAUCAUUACUCUUUUUUCAACUGAUUUUCAUGAAAACAAUAAAAAAGAAGCAAGUAUGUUAUUGACAGUAGUGACUGUGGACAGACAUAAAUUUGGCUCAGUCUUCUUGUCCAGUGGAUCUGAUCACAGAUUCCAGUGAUUUUGUGUCAGAGGAAGAAGGUAUAAUUUUAUGUCUCGAUCUAUUUUUUAAAAGUCAGCAGACUAUGGACCAAUUAGGAACAUGUGUUUUAAUACGAGGAUACCGAUUCAUCUUACUUUGCUAAUGACAAAUAUUCUAGGAACAAUUUUAGGCUCUUCCAUUUUUUGAAAGGUGCAUCUGGACCUUUCCAAGUUGUGGUAAUUUGGUUCCGGGCUGGUGUUUGACCAUUCUGAGUUUCCGUUAGAAAAAUGAUAUUAUUAUUCCCUGAAUAAUAAAAUAAACCAGUGAGUGAGUGAAUCCAUGAAUCCAUAAGUGCAUGUAGUGGAGGACUGGGAGAUUGUGCCAGGAAGCAAAUAUGUUCAAUUCUACACAGCCAAGUCCAAUAAAAAGAUGAUCGUGGCUUUCCCUAUGUAGGUAGCAAGGAAAAGUCAGAUGUCUCUGAUUGUAAAUAGCUUUUAUUUUGUGUUGAGCGAUGAAUUCAAUAGUUUUCCUGUCAACUAGUAGAAACUUAACUCAGUAAGAGUACCACCCUUGAGAAAUUCGUAAGAAUGUGAUAUGAAAUAGGGCUUCUGAUUAACGAUUCCUCUUGACACAUUUCAACUUAAAAAAGCGCACUCUGUCUUCAUUGUUUUUACAAAUUGGCUUCCCUCCCCCCUUUUUCCUUUAUUCAUAGAAUGAACACACAGCUGAUUUAAUCGUUCUAUGAUCGUGAAGACAUGGCUGUGAAUUCUGGGACUGAGAAACAUAAAGACCGAGAAUGGAUGAACGAUGAAUCGAUUAUGGAGUAUAGAAACAUAAUGGAUGUGCCAGGCCAGUUGAAGCAUCUCCAUGGUCAUGAGCUGUUUGUUGCCUAGGAGCAUAGAGACCAGUGUGAGUAUCGUCAAAGUCUCGGUCUUGGUCUGAGAGGCUUUUAAAGAUCCAAGAAGGCCAACCAUGGACUAGUGUAAAUACGGCAUUGCCACGAGCAGUGUGUUGACGAUGGCAAAAUUCAGAAUGAUUAAUGAGAGAUAUCAUCAAUGUGGUAAAUGAUCCUGUAGGUAGAUAUUCCAGAUACUUAAGACUAUUAUUCUUAAGGUUUUGCGAUUCAGAGUUAUUUACUUAAUUAUUAAUGAAAUGAGGAAUUAAUCAAUAAGCAAAUGUGGAAACGAGUGGAGAAGAAGAGGGCCAGUUCUGGACCAAUGAUGACCACUGGUGGCGUAUGAAUCACGGAUGAUGAAUAUUACGUGUCUGAAACUCUGAGGUCCAACCAAUAAGAAAUAUAGUGUGUUCCUUCUGUUGGAAAUACUUCCGUGGACAGAUGUAAGGAGUACACAGGAUUUCGUUCUUUUCCUACAUGUACAUAGUUUUGAUUUCAUAUUUAUAAAUGGAUCAAUGAUAGAACCAUAAAGAAAUAUAUAAAUCAGUAAAUAUAAAAAGAAGAAGCAUUGUUAAACUCCAAAAAAAAAUGUGGUGAGGCAAGAAAUACUAUGAAUAUGAAUUGAAAUCACAGAAGUCCAUUAAGAAUUAAUGGACCAACUGGGUUAUCUCUGUGCAAGGAUCAUACAGGCACUGAUUAAUCACGGUCACUUUUGUUGUUACAGACCAGUCUCAUGGGUGAGGUUGUUCAUUUUGUUAAGGGGAGAAUGUGUAAAUAUGAUGAAAAAAUAAUAAUCAAACGAAUGAGUGAAUGAAGUGUGAAACAAGGCUGAACGGAGAGACUGUCUCAAUUUUUAAAAUCAUUUCUCCUGCUUUGUACUCCUCAGAAUGGAUGCAGUUAAGCUGAUUCUCUGUGGCUGCCUCCAUUGUCAGGAACACAGACACUAAUAGCGGGCACACCAAGGUGAUGAAAGCCAUCUGCCACGGUUACAGGCUCUAUAUGUAGGAGAUGGAGACCAGUGUGAGUACAAAGUUCUUAUCUUAUUUUUGCUGAUUUGUUUAGCAUGUUGACUGUAAUAUUAAAAAUAUUUAAAUAUAUAAAAAAGGCCAGCCCCAUGAUAAAUAUGAAAUUGACAUGAGACAUUAUAUUGAUUAACCAGUGUUUGCAACAGGGUAGAUGAUUGAUAAAAUAUAUAUUCAAGGAGGUGGUAGUGAUUCUAUGGACAGAUGUUAGGGAUACUUGGGGGUCUUAUUUUCAAGUGUUUUUGAUUCAUAGAUAUUUUAUACUUAUUGAUUUAUUGAUAAUCACUGAUAAAUGUAGAAGCGAGUGAAGAAAAAGAGGGCCAGUUCUGGACCAAUGAUGACCACUGGUGGCGUAGGAGUCAUGGAUGAUGAAUACUACGUGUCGGGAACUCUGAGGUCCAACAAAAUAAGAAAUCUGUCUCUUUUCUCUGUUGCAAGUGACCAUAUUGACAGGUGUUAGUAACAGACAAGGAUCAUGUUCUUGUUCCUUGUAUUCGUGGAUUUUUAAUUCUUUUAGUAUAGAGAAGUGAAAGAAUCAAUAAUCAAAUACAAAUAAACAUGAAUAAGGAAAGGGUUGUAAAAUAUGUAAGUUAAGAAAUACCUAAGUGGUUGAGUAAAUGAAACGUGGAAUGCAAAGCCAAAGAAAAUAAGGUCUAAGGUUUUUUUGUUUGUUUGUUUGUUUGUUUUUUAUAUCACCUUCUGUGUUUUGCACUUCUCAGAGUGGAUGCCCUGGAGCUAAUUUAAGGAUUCUUCCAUGGUCGCAAGGCGUCUGCUUGUCUCUGUGUGUUUGGUGUAUAGAAAUGUGAGUUUUUAUGGGUAUAUACUUUGUAUUUGAAAGUUAUGAAAUAUAAUAAAAGAAAGCCACCCAUGGUCCAUUGAUAAAUAUGGAAUUGAUAUUGCAUUGCAUUAUAUUGAUUAAUCCCCAUAUGAAACUUUGAGGGUGAUUAAUCAAGAACAUAUAUUGAUAUAGUAAAUGAUUGUAUGGACAGAUGUAGGACUAUUCAAGGCCUGUAGUCUAGGGGUUUUUUUUUCUUUUUUUUACUUAUAGGUAUUUAUUUUAUUAUUUAUUAUUUGAUGAAUUAAUUAAUAAACAAAGGUAGAUAAAAAUGGAAAAAAAGACCAAGGGUGGACCAAUGAUGAUGGCUGGUGGCUUAUGACUCACGGUUGAUGAUUACGUGUCUGGAACUCUGAGGUCCAGCAUAAAACGAAAUCUAGUUGAUUAUCUCUGUUGGAAAUGAUCCUAUAGACAAUUUUAGGAUUUCACAAAGAUCUCGUUUGGGGGUGCUUAUGUUCAUGAAUUUUGAUUCUAUUGUAGUAAGUGAAUCAACAAAAAGAUCAAUAUACAAAUAUAUAUAAAAGCAGAUGAAGGGGUGAAGCAUUGUACAGUUAUGAAAAAUGUCGUAAGGCAAGAAUCAGAGAGAAAUAGUUCAAGGUGUUACCUCUAGAUAACAAUGUUAUAGAUAAUAUAAACAAUGGCCAAUAUUCUUGUUCUGGGUUAAUGGAAAGCUCAAUGUUUUUCUCGAUAAAAAGUAAAAUGCAUAUUACCCCAAAUUAAUAUACAGCUUAAUUACCGGGUAAUGAACUGUAGACACAAGGAUCAAUAGAGAAAAUGUAUCAAUCAUGUUAUUAUCUACUCUGCUUUCUACUUUUUAGAAUGGACACAGCCAAGGUGGUUUAAAUAGUAUGCCUGUAGGAACAUGGAAACCAACAAUAGGUACAUGCGUGAAGUUGGGUUGAAGCAUCUUUCAUGGUCACGAGCUCUGUGGGUGCCUUGUCUAAUGAGCGUAGAGGCCAACGUGAGUAAGAGUUAAAGUUCAUGUCUUUGUGAAUUUAUUUUCAGGCACUCACUGUAUUAUUAAAAGUGUGAAAUAUAAUAAGAAAUGCCAGCCAUCAUGCAUGAUAAAUAUGGGGUUUAUCUGCUGUGUGAUAAGUAUUAGUCCGCAUAUGGAACUUUGAUGAUCAUUCGCGAAAUAGAUAUAUCAAUGUGGCAGAUGACCCUACAGGCAGCUAUAGAAUAUUCAUUGCUCUUAUCCUUGGGUGUUUGUGAAUCAUGGCAUUUUAAGAGUUAAUAUUAGUGAAUUCAUGAAUUGGUCAGUUACCUUAUGCAGAUGAGAAUGAGGAGGAAGGAGGCCCAGAUCUGGACCAAUGAUGAUAGUUGGUGGCGUAUGAGUCAUGGAUGAUGAAUAUUACGUGUCUGAAACUCUGAGGUCCAAUAAAAAGAAAGAUCAUCUCUUGCCUCUUUUUGCCAUGAUAUCAUAGACAAAUAUUAGGAAAAGAAAAGAAUAAUUUUCUUGUUUUGUGUUUAUGAGUUUUGAUUUUGCUGUACAAAAUAGCCCAAAGAGGUAAUCAGUAUACAAGUAUAAAUAAGUUGAAAUGAAGAGAGUGAAGCAAGUUUGCUCUUAAUAUACAUGGUGGGGCGAUAAAAGCCAUUAACAUAUACAGAAAACACUGCAGUUCAUUGAGAAAAUGUAAGUGGUUCAUAUGUCUUACUCUUUGGCUAAGAAUGAUACAGAGACCACAAAGAACAGCCAAAGUUCCUAUUCUGUGUUAGUGUUAGACUUGAUAUUGUUCAUUUUUUAAGAGAAAAAUAACAAAUACGAUCCCAAUUCACUGUAUUCCUAAAGGACUCACUGAAUGUAGAUAGGAUGUGUGGGUCGAUAGAGAGUAUCUCAGUCUCGUUGUUUUCUGUUCUGCUUUGUAUUAUUCCUCAGCAUGGAUGCACUUGAACUCACUGGGGUGUUUGGCCGUGAUCGGAUGCUCCAUGGAUGCCCCUUGCGUGUAAGAGGAUGGAGACCAAUGUGAGUGACAGUCAGAUUCUCCUCCUAGUUUAGGUGGUUUGUACAGGAUAUUCAGUGUCAUAUUAAAAAUUUGAGGAAGUCCAAACACAGCUCAAUGGCAAAUAUGGCAUUGUCAUGAAACAUGUUAACUAAUCGAUAUUGUCCACAAUGAGGAUCAUUAGUGAAAUAACUGUAAAGAUUCAAUAGGCAGAUGCUAGGGAUACUUAAGGAUCUUGUCCUUGAGUUUUGUGAUUCCCAGAUACUCGUUUUAUUAUUACUAGUGGCUUAAUAAAUUGACAUCAAGCAAAUGCAAAUGAGAAUGAAGAAAAGGAGACCUGAGUGUGGACCCAUGAUGACAGCUGGUGGCGUAUGAGUCACAUACGAUGACUGCUACGUGUCUGGAAGUCUGAGGUCCAUCCAACACAAAAAUAUCUAGUCAGUUUCCUCUGCUCAAAGUGUUCCUAUAGACAGAUGUCAGGGAUAUACAACAACUUUGUUCUUAUUCAUGAGUUUCUAGAAAUAUUACAAAAUAUAAAUUUUAUAAUAAAUAAACAUUUUAUACAAAUGUAUAUAUGAACGAAUAAAGAUGAAGAAGGUUAAGUAUUGUUCAUUAUUAAAACAAGUUGUGGCCGGGGCGCCUGGGUGGCUCAGUCGGUUAAGCGUCCGACUUCGGCUCAGGUCACGAUCUCACGGUAUGUGAGUUCGAGCCCCGCGUCGGGCUCUGUGCUGACUGCUCAGAGCCUGGAGCCUGUUUCGGAUUCUGUGUCUCCCUCUCUCUCUGACCCUCCCCCGUUCAUGCUCUGUCUCUCUCUGUCUCAAAAAUAAAUAAACGUUAAAAAAAUAAAAUAAAAAAAAAACAAGUUGUGGGAGAAAUAGUAGUUUUUCUUCAAAUUUUUCUUUCUUUCUUUCUUUCUUUCUUUCUUUCUUUCUUUCUUUCUUUAUGUUUAUUUAUUUUGAGAGAGGGAGAGAGAGAGAGAGGAAGAGGGGGAGAGAAAGAGCACGCAUGAGUGAGCAGGGGAGGGACAGAGAGAGAAUCCCAGGCAGGUGGGGCCUGAUGCAGGGCUUGAACUCAUGAAUCAUGAGAUCAUGACCUUAGCCGAAUUCAAAAGUCAGAUGCCCAACCGACUGAGCCACCCAGGUGGCCCUCAAAUUUUUAUUUAAAUUCUAGCUAGUUAACAUACAGUGUAAUAUGUUUCAGGAGUAGAAUUUAGUGAUAGAAAUAAUACUACUGUAAGUUAGAAUGGAUAAUAAAUGGAUUCAGUGUAUUUAAUUAAUUAAUUAAUUAAUUUAGAGAAAGAGAGAGAGAGAAAGAGAGAGAAAGCACGAGUUGCGGAGGGGCAGAGAGAGAGGGAGAGAGCGAAUCCCAAGCAGGCUCCACCAUGUCAGUGCAGAGCCCGACUCUGGGGCUCGAUCUCAGGAAUCGUGAGUUCAUGACCUGAGCUGAAAUCGAGAAUCGGAUGCUUCACCGACUGAGCCAUGCGGGCGCCCCUAUUUUAUAUUUUUGACUAAGGAUGACGUAGACAGUGAUCAGUGAUAGUUAAUUAUGGAGUCAUGGGAAUGAAAGGAAUAUAGUCGAUGAUACCGUAGUAGUUUUGUGCGGUAGCUACACUUGGGGUGAGCACAGCGUGAGGUAGAAAGAAAUUGGAUCACAUGUUCUGCCCCUGAAACGAAUGUAAAGUUGCGUGUCAACUAUACUCAAAUAAAAAACAAUUUCAGUGCCGUGAUGCAGAUAUACCUUGAAAACAUUACGCUAAGUGAUAGAAGGCAGACAGAGAGGGUCACGUGGUGCACAACUCCACUUAUAUGAAAUAUCCCAAACACAUGAAUCCACAGGGAGAGAAUACCGAUUGGUGGUUGCCAGGGGCUGGGACCCAGAGGAGUAGGGAGAGACUGCUUAACGCAUAUGGUAUUUUAUUUUGGAGUCAUGAAAGUAUUUUGAAACUAGGUAGAGGUGGUUGGUGGUUGCACGAUAUUGUGAAAAUACUAAGUACUGCUGUUUUGUUAACUUUAUUUUUUAUUAUUAUUAUUGUUAUCAUUUUUAAAGAUUAUUUAUUUUGAGAGAAAAAGAGAGCGUGAGCAAGGGAAGGGCAGAGAGAGGGAGAGAGAGAAUCCCGAGCAGGUUCCAUGCCGAUGGCAUGGGGCUCAAUCUCAUGAACUGUGAGAUCUUGACCUGAGCUAAAAUCAAGAGUCAGAUGCUUAACCACUGAGCCACCCAGGUGCCUCAUGGUUUGGUAACUUUCAAUAGCUAAUUUUACCUAAAUUAAGAAGCGAGACCUUUAUAAGAAAAGUUGAUUAUUAAACUGAGAAACUUAGACAUUUGAUGUUUAUUUUAUAGAAGGAAAAAGAGGGGCCUGGGUGACUCGGUCGGUUGAGCAGCCGACUUCGGCUCAGGUCAUAAUCUUGCGGUCCGUGAGUUCAAGCCCCGCGUCGGGCUCUGUGCUGACAGCUCAGAGCCUGGAGCCCGUUUCAGAUUCUGUGUCUCCCUCUCUCUGACCCUCCCCCGUUCAUGCUCUGUCUCUCUCUGUCUCAAAAAUAAAUAAACGUUAAAAAAAAAAAAAAAGAAGGGAAAAGAAAUGUUACCAUACGUUGAUAAAUAACUAAAUGACUACCUAUAUGAAUGGUGGAAGUAUGGAUCAAUGGAAAGAAUGUCUUAAUCUUGUUAUCGCCUUUUCUACUUGGUACUAUUCAGAAUGGAACCCCAGGCUGAUUUUAGCUUCUGCUCUGAUCAAGAUCGACAUGUUGCUUCAGUGUUGGAGAGAGACCAACCAAGGUGCGUACCGGUCAAAGAAGUCAUCUUAGAUUGGGCCAUUUGUUAAAAGGUAUACAUUGAAUUAUUAAAAAGUAUGGAACAUAAUUUGAAGAAGUUAACUGUGUCCCAGUGAGAAAUAUGAUACAAAACAUGAUAUUGAUUCAUCAGUGAAGUGCAACAUAGAGGCCCGUUAAUGAAAUUAAUGAAAUAGAAUCAGUCUACAUGGGAAAUGACUCUACAGAGAGAUUUUAUUUUAUUUUUAAAAAUUUUUAAUGUUUUAUUUAUUUUUGAGAAAGAGAGAGAGCGAGAGAGCGAGCACGUGUGCAAGGGAGGGAGGGCAGAGAGAGGAAGACACAGAAUACGAAGCCGGCUCCAGGCUCUGAGCUGUCAGCACAGAGCCCGCCGCGGGGCUCAAACUCACAAACUGUGAGAUCGUGACUUGAGCCAAAGUCAGAUGCUUAACCGAUGGAGCCACCCAGGCGCCCCGGUGCUAUGGAGAGAUUUUAGACAUUGGGAAGGAUCUUCUUGGAUUUUGGGAAUCACGUGUUUAUUUUAUUAUUAUUAACGGCUUAAUGAUUUAUUUGAUAGCAAUGCAGACGUGAAUGAAGAAAAAGACAUCCAAACCAGAGCCACUGAUGGCAACUGGUGGCACGUGCAUAUGGAUGGUAAAUAAUAUGUGCCUGGAGUACUAAGGUCCAACACAAGACAUAAUUAGUCAGAUCCCCCUUUUGGACGUGCUCCUGUAGACACGUACUAGAAAUAUACAAAGAUCAUGUUCUUUCCCUGGUCUUUAUCAAUUUAGAUUUAUUAUUAUAAGUGGAUCAAUAAUAGAACCACUAGUGAAAUAUAAACAAAUAGAUAAAGAAAAAGAGAGUGAAGCAUUGUCCAGCUGUAAAUGUAUGUGGUAAGGCAAGAAUUGUUACUACAGAUUGAAAACACUGAUGCCCCUUAAGGAAUAAAUGUAUCAACAGUGUCACCUCUUUGACCAAGGGUCAUAAAAACUCGUACGUAAGAGUUUGAGUUUUUAGGUCAGUCUCGAAUCUGAGGUUGUUCCUUUGGUUAACAGAAAGAAAAUUAAUAAAUAUCUAAAUGAUAGGAUGAAUGAAAUGUGGAAAAGAAGAAUCGUUUCAGAUCAGGUCUCAUAUUUCACAUACUCUGUUUUGUAUUCCCCAGGAUGGACAUACGCAAGCUGGUCGAAGAAUUCUUCCAUGGUCACAGUCCCUGUGGUUGCACCUGUGUUCCAGGUGUGCAUAGCCCAACAAAGAAAACACCUGCGCCGAUUUAAGCGUCCAUCAUGUUUUAGGCACCCCAGGGUAGCCUCUUGUGUGGGAGCGUGAAGUCCAACAAUCAACACAUUCCAGCUGAUUCAGAUUUUCUACGGUCAAAAGGUCUGUGAUUUCCUGUGUGUUUGGGCCAUGGGGAUGAAUAUGAGUAAAGGUUACAGUUCUUGUAUUUGUUUAAGCAGUUUUUAAUUUCUAUUUAUUUAUUAAAAAAAAUUUUUUUUUAAAUAUUUACUAUUUUUGAGAGAGAGACAGAGCACGAGCGGGGGAGGGGCAGAGAGAGAGGGAGACAGAAUCCGAAGCAGGCUCCAGGCUCCGAGCCGUCAGCACAGAGCCCAACAUGGGGCUCGAACCCAUGAACUGUGAGAUCAGGACCUGAGCCGAAGUUAGUUGCUCAAUGGACUGAGCCACCCAGGCGCCCCAAGCAGUUUUUUUUCUUUAAAAAAGGUAUUCACUGUAUUGUUAAAAGUGUGAAAUAUAAUUUAAAACACUAAACACGGAAACUGAUAAAUAUGGGCGCUAACAUUUGCUAAUGCAUAUGU